rnacentral:lncRNA from 1 species
AUACGUAGUGAUAAAUGGUAGGCAGGGAAAACUAGACUGUAUAGGAAUUCUUUGCAAGUGGAUGAAAAUGUUCAUAAAUUGCAUCAGUGGUUAUAGAAUGAUGAAUAUAGUAAGUGGGUGAAUGUCAUGGUAUGUGAAUUAAAUCUCAGAGAAAUUCAAAACCAUAGGAAUGUGGACAUUAGGCAGAUGUCCACAUGUUAACAUGAGUGACUUCUAACUUACGGCACAUCCAUUUCGGAGGGUAUUAUGAAGCCAUUCAAACAGUAGACUACAUCUAGGAAUAUAUUGUGACCUGUACUCAUAGUCAAGAUUUUAUAUUAAGUUAUAAACUAAGAUACAUGUAUGUAUGUAUGUAUUAUGUAUGUAUUAUGUAUAAGAUGUAUGUUAACUUUUUAAGCAAAUAGUUCAUGUGUAUAGUUUAUAGAGAUAAUUUCAAAACAAGCGUAGGAAUGAAAUAGGAAAUGUAUAUAACAGGCUGUAAACCUUCCGCAAGUGGCUCGGUGCGAGCUCAAAGCAAACCCCCUCAACCUUGUAACCAUUUUCAGGUGGCAGGUUUCGAGUGCUUUUUACCUUUUUCACUAGUUUUUAAUUAAAGUAAUUUUUAAAUAUUCUUACAAACACUCAGCUUCCAAAAUAUCCGUCAGACCUACUCUGAGGCUUUCUGACUUUACUCAGGACAAACUUCCAUUCAUUUGCUACAUUGCUCACAUGAAUAAUGCUCCAAUUUUUCAUAGACUCUAAGGGAUGGAAAGGGAAGGAUCCUGGUUACAGCCUCCUGCACAUGUUACCCUGAGAUACACUUCUCAGCCAGGUUUCCCAGAAGGGACUGCUUCCUCUCAGGUGGGAAACCUUACCUCCUCUUUACUAGACCUGCAGACCACUUCAAAAAUGGAGAAAAUCUACUAGAGGAUACCUUUCACCUGGUGCAGAGAUCUAGAAACUGGUGUAUCCAGACAACAAAAUUCUACUCAGCAAUAAAACUAAGGAACCAUAUAUGCAACAACUUGGAUAAAUCUGAAAUGUAUCUUGCUAAGUAGAAGAAGCCAGACUCAAACGGCUGCUUACUGUUCUAUUUCAUUUGUGUUUUCUGGGACGGACGAAGCAAUAAGGCAGAAAAAGCAGUAGACACCAAGUUUUGGCACAAGGGAUUUUUUUUUAAUAAUAGGAACUUUCUGUGUGAUAUUUAUUGUUACAAUGUAUAUGUGUUUGUUAAAACUCCGAGAAUUAUACACCAAAAGACUGAAUUUUAAUGUGUGAAUUUUUUAAAAUAAAAGUAAUUUUUAAUGAAAUAAA